GAUGAAGAACGUAGCGAAAUGCGAUAAGUAAUGUGAAUUGCAGAAUUCAGUGAAUCAUCGAAUCUUUGAACGCACAUUGCGCCCCUUGGUAUUCCGAGGGGCAUGCCUGUUCGAGCGUCAUUAUAACCCCUCAAGCUCGGCUUGGUGUUGGGGCCUGCCGCACGGGCAGCCCUUAAAAUCAGUGGCGGCGCCAUCUGGCUCUAAGCGUAGUAAUUCUUCUCGCUAUGGAGUCCUGGUGGAUGCUUGCCAUCAACCCCCAAUUUUUCUAUGGUUGACCUCGGAUCAGGUAGGGAUACCCGCUGAACUUAAGCAUAUCAAUAAGCGGAGGA
rnacentral:misc_RNA from 1 species